CCCAGAAGCGGCUGCUGAGCGCCCGCGCCCCGGCCGGCAAGAGGCCGUGCCCGGAGCCCCAGAGCGGCCCCAGAGCCCCUCCCGGCUCCCCGCCCGGGCCCAGCUCGGCUGCCCGCGGCCAGGACGGGCUGCGGGAUGCGGACAGCGACGUCAGCGACGGGGGAGACUCGGCUCCGGAUGGAUACUCCCACCUGUCAGCCUAUGAAAGGAAAAGGCUAAAGAACAUCACAGAAAAUGCUAAAUUCUUUGCUGCUCUAAAGCUGCAUGAGUCAGCUGCAAGGCUUAACCAGCUUACCACUAAAAGGCAAUCUCAUGUCACUAAAAGGGCCAAGCCUAAAAAGGUGGAGGAUG
rnacentral:lncRNA from 1 species